rnacentral:rRNA from 1 species
AACGAACGCUGGCGGCAGGCCUAACACAUGCAAGUCGAACGCUCCGCAAGGGGAGUGGCAGACGGGUGAGUAACACGUGGGAACCUACCUCGAGGUGCGGAACAACCAAGGGAAACUUUGGCUAAUACCGCAUGUGCCCUUAGGGGAAAGAUUUAUCGCCUUGGGAAUGGGCCCGCGUCGGAUUAGCUAGUUGGUGUGGUAAUGGCGCACCAAGGCGACGAUCCGUAGCUGGUCUGAGAGGAUGAUCAGCCACACUGGGACUGAGACACGGCCCAGACUCCUACGGGAGGCAGCAGUGGGAAUAUUGGACAAUGGGCGCAAGCCUGAUCCAGCCAUGCCGCGUGUGUGAUGAAGGCCUUAGGGUUGUAAAGCACUUUCGCCGAUGAAGAUAAUGACUGUAGUCGGAGAAGAAGCCCCGGCUAAACUUCGUGCCAGCAGCCGCGGUAAU